CCGUACUAGGCGGGGAGUUAGCGGUGCCCUGUACUCGCAAUCCGCUAUAGCGAGGCGGAAUCCCCGGCCGCGGGCUGCCCUGGGCAGUGUAUGGAACCGGUAAGUAGUGUUGAGGGGUGGAUCCUGUGCAACAAGACGCCAUGAACCCUGUCAGGUCCUGACGGAAGCAGCAGUAAGUGGAUUGUCUUGUGUGCCGCAGAGCCAUCUGCCCUGAGCUGGCUGCCGGCAUCCCUG
rnacentral:SRP_RNA from 1 species